UACGUAGGGGGCGAGCGUUGUCCGGAAUUAUUGGGCGUAAAGAGCUCGUAGGCGGUUUGUCGCGUCUGCUGUGAAAGACCGGGGCUCAACUCCGGUUCUGCAGUGGGUACGGGCAGACUAGAGUGCAGUAGGGGAGACUGGAAUUCCUGGUGUAGCGGUGAAAUGCGCAGAUAUCAGGAGGAACACCGAUGGCGAAGGCAGGUCUCUGGGCUGUAACUGACGCUGAGGAGCGAAAGCAUGGGGAGCGAACAGG
rnacentral:rRNA from 1 species